AGGGGAAAGGGGACCUGGUGGCGAGCCCUGUUAUGAGCUAUAGUUCAAGCUUCGCGUUUCCCCGGUAUCUUUUGAAACGUAAAAUCCCACAACAAAUAGCUCGGUAACGUAUAACCGGGAUGAAGCUUCGAUUCCGAUUUAAGCGCUCCGGUUUGCUCGAGUCUUGCUAUUUUCUGCAUUUGUUUUGACUGCUCUCAUCAUUCAAGAUUGACGCUUGGAUGGGACCCAGAUGCCCUGUCCAAACAGUAGGACAAUGGUUGGAAAGCAUUGGGCUACCUCAGUACGAGAACCACCUGACGGCUAAUGGAUUUGACAAUGUACAGUUUAUGGGAAGCAAUGUUAUGGAAGAUCAGGAUUUGUUGGAAAUUGGAAUCCUUAACUCUGGUCACAGAC
rnacentral:lncRNA from 1 species